ensembl:rRNA 5S_rRNA 5S ribosomal RNA
GUCUACAGCCAUACCACCCUGAACGUGCCCCAUCUCGUCUGAUCUUGGAAGUGAAGCAGGGUUGGGCCUUGUUAUUAUUACUCGAAUGGGAGAGUGUGUUCA